rnacentral:lncRNA from 1 species
GAAGUCUGCAGUGAGGCACAUUGUUCUUCACCCAGGAAUGUUUGGAAGAAAAUCAAACACAAGCCCAGCCUUUCCAGUGUCUGUGAGCAUCUAGCUAAUUUCAGUCACAAAGGCACCUACCUGUCUCCGUUGUCCAGGUUCUGAAAAGCCUCAGCUCACGUUGUACCCACCGGCCUUCUUGGCCCUGAGAGCAGACGGUGUGAAUGACCUGCCUUGGUCCUCCCCCGCUGACAUGGGCACUGAUGACAAUGAGACCAGUCUGCUCCUGGCAGCACCUUCAUUAUGCUUCAGAGAAGAUGAUGAGCAUUGAAAAACCUCCAUAUGGAGUUUGCUUCAACUGUGGCAAGCUAACCACCGGGCAAGAAACUGAUGCUUUGCCACACUGGACAAACAAGAUGCAGCAAAGUCGACUGCCGAGCUUUGCCAAAACAGGGUUCUCAGAAAAGAAAAGAAGAAGGGAAACUUCAGUGAGACCAUUAGAACGCACAGACAAGCAAAUAAACAAAAGCG